GCGAGAGUGGCGAAACUGGCAGACGCGCUGGACUUAGGAUCCAGUGGGCCAAAAGCCCUUGGGGGUUCGACUCCCCCCUCUCGCA
rnacentral:tRNA from 1 species